rnacentral:rRNA from 1 species
UCAGUCGACUCCUACGGGGAGGCAGCAGUGGGGAAUAUUGCACAAUGGGGGAAACCCUGAUGCAGCCAUGCCGCGUGUGUGAAGAAGGACCUUCGGGUUGUAAAGCACUUUCAGUUGUGAGGAAAGUUAGUAGUUAAUACCUGCUAGCCGUGACGUUAACAACAGAAGAAGCACCGGCUAACUCCGUGCCAGCAGCCGCGGUAAUACGGAGGGGUGCGAGCGUUAAUCGGAAUUACUGGGCGUAAAGCGCACGCAGGCGGUUUGUUAAGCUAGAUGUGAAAGACCCCGGGCUCAACCUGGGAUGGUCAUUUAGAACUGGCAGACUAGAGUCUUGGAGAGGGAGUGGAAUUCCAGGUGUAGCGGUGAAAUGCGUAGAUAUCUGGAGGAACAUCAGUGGCGAAGGCGACUCCCUGGCCAAAGACUGACGCUCAUGUGCGAAAGUGUGGGUAGCGAACAGGAUUAGAUACCCUGGUAG